rnacentral:rRNA from 1 species
AACUAACAAGGAUUCCCCUAGUAACUGCGAGUGAAGCGGGAAAAGCUCAAAUUUAAAAUCUGGCGGUCUCUGGCCGUCCGAGUUGUAGUCUGGAGAAGUGCUUUCCGCGCUGGACCGUGUAUAAGUCUCUUGGAACAGAGCGUCAUAGAGGGUGAGAAUCCCGUCUUUGACACGGACUACCAGUGCUUUGUGAUGCGCUCUCAAAGAGUCGAGUUGUUUGGGAAUGCAGCUCAAAAUGGGUGGUGAAUUCCAUCUAAAGCUAAAUAUUGGCGAGAGACCGAUAGCGAACAAGUACCGUGAGGGAAAGAUGAAAAGCACUUUGGAAAGAGAGUUAAACAGUACGUGAAAUUGCUGAAAGGGAAACGCUUGAAGUCAGUCGCGUUGUCCGGAACUCAGCCUUGCUUUUGCUUGGUGCACUUUCCGGAUGACGGGUCAGCAUCGAUUUUGACCGUCGGAAAAGGGCUGGAGUAAUGUGGCACCUCCGGGUGUGUUAUAGACUCUGGUCGCAUACGGCGGUUGGGAUCGAGGAACGCAGCGCGCCGCAAGGCAGGGGUUCGCCCACUUUCGCGCUUAGGAUGCUGGCAUAAUGGCUUUAAACGACCCGUCUUGAAACACGGACCAAGGAGUCUAACAUACCUGCAAGUGUUUGGGUGGUAAACCCGAGCGCGUAAUGAAAGUGAAAGUUGAGAUCCCUGUCGUGGGGAGCAUCGACGCCCGGACCAGACGUUCUCUGACGGAUCCGCGGUAGAGCAUGUAUGUUGGGACCCGAAAGAUGGUGAACUAUGCCUGAAUAGGGUGAAGCCAGAGGAAACUCUGGUGGAGGCUCGUAGCGAUUCUGACGUGCAAAUCGAUCGUCAAAUUUGGGUAUAGGGGCGAAAGACUAAUCGAACCA